rnacentral:rRNA from 1 species
GACACGACUCUCGGCAACGGAUAUCUCGGCUCUCGCAUCGAUGAAGAACGUAGCGAAAUGCGAUACCUGGUGUGAAUUGCAGAAUCCCGCGAACCAUCGAGUCUUUGAACGCAAGUUGCGCCCGAGGCCACCCGGUCGAGGGCACGCCUGCCUGGGCGCCACGC